rnacentral:rRNA from 1 species
GACCCGUCUUGAAACACGGACCAAGGAGUCUAACAUGUGCGCGAGUCACGGGGUCUUGAAUAGGCCGCAGAGGCGCAAUGAAAGUGAAGGUCGACCUCGACGUCGACUGUGUUGGGACUCUCCGCCCCCUCCGGGCGGGGAAGCACCAACGACCCGUCCUAUCCGAUUCAUCGGUUGGGCGGAGUCUGAGCGUACACGUUGGGACCCGAAAGAUGGUGAACUAUGCCUGGGCAGGACGAAGCCAGAGGAAACUCUGGUGGAGGUCCGUAGCGGUUCUGACGUGCAAAUCGAUCGUCAGACCCGGGUAUAGGGGCGAAAGACUAAUCGAACCAUCUAGUAGCUGGUUCCUUCCGA